GCGGGUAUGGUUUAAUGGUAAAAUUUCUCUUUGCCAGAGAGAAGAUGCGGGUUCGAUACCCGCUACCCGCC
rnacentral:tRNA from 2 species